AUUGAACGCUGGCGGCACGCCUAACACAUGCAAGUCGAGCGGUAGCAGGACCUGUAGCAAUACAGGUUGCUGACGAGCGGCGGACGGGUGAGGAAUACGUAGGAACCUGCCUUAUAGUGGGGGAUAACUAAGGGAAACUUUAGCUAAUACCGCAUAAUCUCGAGAGAGGAAAGCUGCCGCAAGGUGGCGCUAAAAGAGGGGCCUGCGUCCGAUUAGCUAGUUGGUGAGGUAAGAGCUCACCAAGGCGAUGAUCGGUAACUGGUCUGAGAGGACGACCAGUCACACGGGGACUGGGACACGGCCCAGACUCCUACGGGAGGCAGCAGUGGGGAAUAUUGGACAAUGGGGGCAACCCUGAUCCAGCGAUGCCGCGUGAGUGAAGAAGGCCUUCGGGUCGUAAAGCUCUUUAGGUUGGGAAGAAGGGUGUUAGAGGAAAUGCUAAUACUUUGACGGUACCGACAGAAUAAGCACCGGCAAACUCUGUGCCAGCAGCCGCAGUAA
rnacentral:rRNA from 1 species